ACGCGGAUGGAAGCUGAAAACUAAAACGGAAAGAAUCUGAAGCACAGGCGGAUGUAAUGUGACGUCCACGAAGCUUUGGUUGCAGGACCCUCUGCUGACACCAGCAUAAGCCACGUCCUACAGGAGCCUAGGUGUGUGCGCUCCUGGUCACCAGUCGUUGUCCAAUUUGAACACCAAGAAAAAUGAUAUGCUGAGAUUAUUGUCAUCCGAAGAGGGAAUCAAAACAUAUAGUAGCCAAAUUAUGUAGAAAAAGUAUUAAGCAGCACCAUAGGACCCUGAGAUCCUUACCUCAAGGACAAGUGGCUAUUAUCAGUGCAGGAUGCAGAAAAAGCAUGCACAUGAAAUUAGAAAGCAGUAAGAGGGCUUUGAAAAACAAAUCCUCAGUUAUCCACAUAUGAAUUCAUUCAUACAGCCUAUAGGCUAUAUGCUGAAAACCUCUUAUGUUCCAGGGCAGAUGUGAGAAAACCAAAAAUAGUAUUCAGCUUCGAGCCUUGGUACAAGGAACCAAUGACUACAGAGGUCCUGGAUUUUGAACAAAUGAUGUAGUGUGACUAAUGAAAGUAACACAAAGGUGUUUGUCCUUUCUGUUUCUCUCUUUGCAUUAACCUGCCCUCUUUAUUCCUCUAGAAACCCUUCUGGCCAAUGAGUCAGAAUAAUAAGCUAGAUUGUAUUAAAGUCAA